AGAGUUUGAUCCUGGCUCAGAUUGAACGCUGGCGGCAUGCCUAACACAUGCAAGUCGAACGGAAACGAUGCUAGCUUGCUAGCAGGCGUCGAGUGGCGGACGGGUGAGUAAUGCAUAGGAAUCUACCUAGUAGCGGGGGACAACCUGGUGAAAACCAGGCUAAUACCGCAUAAUCCCUACGGGGCAAAGCAGGGGACCUUCGGGCCUUGCACUAUUAGAUGAGCCUAUGUCGGAUUAGCUAGUUGGUGAGGUAAUGGCUCACCAAGGCAACGAUCCGUAGCUGGUUUGAGAGGAUGAUCAGCCACACUGGGACUGAGACACGGCCCAGACUCCUACGGGAGGCAGCAGUGGGGAAUAUUGCACAAUGGACGCAAGUCUGAUGCAGCAAUGCCGCGUGUGUGAAGAAGGCCUUAGGGUUGUAAAGCACUUUCAGUAGGGAGGAAAAGUUCAAGGUUAAUAACCUUGGGCCCUGACGUUACCUACAGAAGAAGUUCCGCUAACU
rnacentral:rRNA from 1 species